AUUUCAAUUAAAACGGUCCAAAAUACCGAUAUUCCAUAUCCAACUUGGACUCAGAUCCAAAUCGAACCGGAUAAAAAAUAAAUAAUAUAUAAAUAAAAAAAUUAUCUAUUCAAAUUUCGGAUAUGAGUCUGGAUAUUUUAUACUCAUAUUCGAUUUGGAUUCAACCUGAAUGUGAUCUUUUAAUGGAUAUGGUCCAGAAGAAAUUCAGACUCGGACUCGGACUCGGACUCGGACCUAGAUCUCGAUCCGGUUUCGGUCCAGUAAAUACCUGAUAGUAAAUAAAAAAAAAAAUUUGAAGUUAAGAGAUCAAUUUCAAUAAGACUUAUAGAUGAAGAGUCGAUAUAUAUUUUUAUCGUAGUGAAAAUUCUAAUCGCGCUGUUUACUCUUUUUUUAAAAAGAAUUUUAUUCGACUCAGUGCAACUAAUUUGAACGCGGAUUUUUUAUAGCAAGAGGUUUAAGGUUUGUCCAUAAAAUGUUUAAUAAAAUUUAUAAAAAAAAUAUAUACAUACGGAUAUUCAUAUUCGAUCUAGACCCAACCCAUAUCCGAUCCAUACCAAGUCUUAAACAAAUAGUAUACGGAUAGUAGCCAGACCCGGAGAGGUCGAAGGCGAGACCCGGAUAGUAGCUAGACCAGGAUAGUAGCCAGACCUGAUCCAAAGUUAAAUGGAUAGGAUAUAUUUUUUAUUUCCUACCCAUUUUUUUUAGGGUACGGAUACAGUAUAUCAAUUAUUCAAACCCGAUCUAGUCCGCGACACUUUUAUUUUUAAUAGGCUAAUUUGCAUAAAAAAUUUAUUAGUUUUGAGCUUUUGCAAAUGUAGGCCGUCUUUUUGAAUUUUGCUAAUUCGGGCCGGAUUAUCAGAAAACUCAUCAAAAUACCAUUACUUUCUAUUCUCCCUUCUCUUUUUAUUUUCUCUCCGAAGAGGA
rnacentral:lncRNA from 1 species